AACGUAGGGGACAAGCGUUAUCCGGAUUUACUGGGCGUAAAGCGCCCGUAGGCGGCCUGACAAGUUGGACGUGAAAGCUCCUGGCUUAACUGGGAGAGGCCGUUCAAAACUGUCAAGCUAGAGUCUGGAAGAGGAGAGCGGAAUUCCCGGUGUAGUGGUGGAAUGCGUAGAGAUCGGGGAGGAACACCAGUGGCGAAAGCGGCUCUCUGGUCCAAAACUGACGCUGAGGGGCGAAAGCGUGGGGAGCGAACGGGG
rnacentral:rRNA from 1 species